UCCUCUCACAGUUCUGGAGGCCAGAGU
rnacentral:piRNA from 1 species